rnacentral:misc_RNA from 1 species
AACGCACAUUGCACCCGCCAGUAUUCUGGCGAGUAUGCCUGUUCGAGCGUCAUUUCAACCCCUCAAGCCCUGGCUGCUUGGUGUUGGGGCGUCAUCUGCAGUGCCUUUACGGCGGCUGCAGGCCCCUAAUUUUAGUGGCGGACCUGCCGAGGCCCCGAGCGCAGUAGUCUAUCUCCUCGCUCCAGGGUGCCGCGGCGGGCUCUCCUGCCGUAAAACCCCCACUAUUUACAAGGUUGACCUCGGAUCAGGUAGGACUACCCGCUGAACUUAA